GACAGAGGGUGCAAACGUUGCUCGGAAUCACUGGGCAUAAAGCGCACGUAGGCGGUCCACUAAGUCCGAUGUGAAAUCCCCCGGCUCAACCGGGGAACUGCAUCAGAUACUGGUGGACUCGAGAGUUGUAGGGGUGGACGGAACUCCAGGUGGAGCGGUGAAAUGCGUAGAUAUCUGGAGGAACACCGGAGGCGAAAGCGGUCCACUGGGCAACUUCUGACGCUGAGGUGCGAAAGCUAGGGUAGCAAACGGGAUUAGAAACCCCCGUAGUCC
rnacentral:rRNA from 1 species